UACGUAGGGACCGAGCGUUGUCCGGAUUCAUUGGGCGUAAAGAGCUCGUAGGCGGCUGCUCAAGUCGAAUGUGAAAACUCGAGGCUCAACCUUCAGAGGUCGACCGAAACCAUCUGGCUAGAGUCCGGGAGAGGAGAGUGGAAUUCCUGGUGUAGCGGUGAAAUGCGCAGAUAUCAGGAAGAACACCCGUGGCGAAAGCGGCUCUCUGGAACGGUACUGACGCUGAGACGCGAAAGCGUGGGGAGCGAACAGG
rnacentral:rRNA from 1 species